CCUAAUUAUCAUCAUCAUCAAUAUGAUAAAACUUGUUGCGUUGUGUACCUCUAUUUGGAACAAUGCAGAGCUCCAUCCGCAUUGAGCAGCAACGUGGACGAAAGAAUGUUUUGCUGAAUUACAUCCGUAGCAAGCCCAAGGUCUGGCAACUGGCAGGUUCCACAAGAUGGCAGCCUCCGCUGUUUGACGCUGAUUUAACGGCAGCUUUACCCUCCUACCAAACACAAAACCACAGAUGGCGCCGGAGAGGACUGAUUCAGCCACGCAUAUGGCAGCCGCCCGAUUAGGAUCGGGCGUAGGAUCUUUCGUAUCUCUCCAAAACAAUUAAAAUAUAGUUUAAAAUAUUUAUAUUUUCAGUUUGAAUAAAGAGUCUUUAAACACA